rfam:Eubacterium biforme DSM 3989 Scfld5 genomic scaffold, whole genome shotgun sequence.
GGGGAUGUUCAGGCAUUCGAUGAGUAAAUGUUUGGAUUCGGCCACAGCCACGAAGGAUACGUGUAAUAACCAACUUAAAUUAAUUGCUAAAAAUAAACUUGCUAAUGUAUUUGGUAUGAACCAAAGCAUGGCUUUCGCUGCUUAAUUUUAUUGCCUACGUUUGGCUUCGCAGCCCCUUUCUGAAAUUUCGCUUUCUUAUUUUAGACUGAGUGUUAAAGAAAAGAAGAUAGAAAUAAGCAUUGGCUAGCUGCUUAUUUUGAAUCAACUAUAGCUAAACCAAAAGAAUUUUUGUUUCCAUCCGAAACUUUUGGAUAACUAGAUGGAAAAAGCUGUAAACGCUGUCUCGUGGGACUUUGCUUAGACAGGAGUUCGAUUCUCCUCAUCUCCACCA